rnacentral:rRNA from 1 species
GAUCAUGGCUCAGGAUGAACGCUAGCUACAGGCUUAACACAUGCAAGUCGAGGGGCAGCAUGGUCUUAGCUUGCUAAGGCCGAUGGCGACCGGCGCACGGGUGAGUAACGCGUAUCCAACCUGCCUUACACUCUUGGACAGCCUUCUGAAAGGGAGAUUAAUACAAGAUGUUAUCGUGAGUAAGCAUUUUCACAUGAUUAAAGGUUUACCGGUGUAAGAUGGGGAUGUGUUCCA